rnacentral:rRNA from 1 species
UGCCAGCAGCCGCGGUUAAACCGGCAGGCCAAGUCAUUUGUAACGGUAAGAUAGUAAAGGAAUUUAAUUUUGCUCUCAAAAAUGAUAUUAUAAGGUGAAAUUUGAAUAUAUUUAAGACCCUGAAAGCUUUUUCCGAAGCUAUGAAAUCCUUGAGGGAAACUGGGAUUAGAUACCCCAUUAUUCUAGGAUAUAAAAAAAUUACCAGGGCACUACGAACAACGUUUAAAACCCAAAGGGCUUGGCGGUAUUUUAGACCCCCCAGGGGAACCUGUCUCAUAAUCGAUAUUCCACGUUACACCUAACUUUAUCUAGAAAUUUUUUAUUUGCUUGUACACCGUCGUCUUAAGCUAACUUUCCUAAGGAAAAAAGAGUUAGCAGCAAACCCGCUUUGGGUUAAAAGUCAGAUCAAGGUGCAGUUUAUGGUAAAGGGAGGAUGGGUUACAAUUAUUUAAUUAUAUAUUCGGCAAAGAAAAAGUUGGAAUUCUCUUUUUAAGUUGGACUUGGAAGUAAAAGCAUAGAGAUAAAUACUUUGAAUAAGGCUCUGGAAUGUGUACAAACCGCCCGUCGCUC